GAAUUGUUUUAUCCUAAUUUGGUUUAAAAAUUUGGGGGUGAUAAGCAAGCUAAUUUUCCUGCUUGUUACUUUUGUCUUCCCUCUAAUAUUGGGAGGAUUUUAAGAGUUAGGAAAGUGAUUUAAAUUGUUGGACUGUGCAAAUUAAAUUGCCUUUAUGACAUUGGUUGCCAUAUGCACAUUGUCUAACAUCGACAAGCAAUAAAGGAAAUCAUUAAGCUAAACUUCUCCUAUGCU
rnacentral:lncRNA from 1 species